rnacentral:rRNA from 1 species
UGGGGAAUUUUGGACAAUGGGCGAAAGCCUGAUCCAGCAAUGCCGCGUGUGUGAAGAAGGCCUUCGGGUUGUAAAGCACUUUUGUCCGGAAAGAAAUCCUUGGCUCUAAUACAGUCGGGGGAUGACGGUACCGGAAGAAUAAGCACCGGCUAACUACGUGCCAGCAGCCGCGGUAAUACGUAGGGUGCAAGCGUUAAUCGGAAUUACUGGGUGUAAAGCGUGCGCAGGCGGUUUGCUAAGACCGAUGUGAAAUCCCCGGGCUCAACCUGGGAACUGCAUUGGUGACUGGCAGGCUAGAGUAUGGCAGAGGGGGGUAGAAUUCCACGUGUAGCAGUGAAAUGCGUAGAGAUGUGGAGGAAUACCGAUGGCGAAGGCAGCCCCCUGGGCCAAAUACUGACGCUCAUGCACGAAAAGCGUGGGGGAGCAAAACAGGGGUUAGAUACCCUGGUAGUCCACGCCCUAAACGAUGUCAACUAGUUGUUGGGGACUUCAUUUCCUUAGUAACGUAGCUAACGCGUGAAGUUGACCGCCUGGGGGAGUACGGUCGCAAGAUUAAAACUCAAAUGAAUUGACGGGGUCAUAGCUGUUUCC